GAUGAACGCUAGCGGCAGGCCUAACACAUGCAAGUCGAGGGGCAUCGCGGUGCAGCAAUGCACUGGCGGCGACCGGCGUACGGGUGCGUAACGCGUAUGCAACCUGCCCCGCACCGGGGGAUAGCCCGCCGAAAGGCGGAUUAAUACCCCAUGGUCCCGGGGGCCCGCAUGGGCAUCCGGGUAAAGCCUUGGCGGUGCGGGAUGGGCAUGCGUGCCAUUAGCUGGCUGGUGGGGUAACGGCCCACCAGGGCAACGAUGGCUAGGGGGUCUGAGAGGAUGGUCCCCCACACUGGUACUGAGACACGGACCAGACUCCUACGGGAGGCAGCAGUGAGGAAUAUUGGUCAAUGGGCGGAAGCCUGAACCAGCCAUGCCGCGUGCGGGAUGAAGGCCCUACGGGUUGUAAACCGCUUUUCCCCGGGAAGAAUAAGCCCCCGCGGGGUGAUGCGGUACCGGGGAUAAGGAUCGGCUAACUCCGUGCCAGCAGCCGCGGUAAACUCGAGAGACGUACG
rnacentral:rRNA from 1 species